UGCCCCAUGGCUGAGUCGGCAACAGCGUCCGACUGUUAUAUGUGUUCAAUGUAAUUACCGUUGCUUUAACAUCGGAAGUUCGAGAGUUCGAGCCUCUCUGGGGCAG